ACUCCUACGGGAGGCAGCAGUGGGGAAUAUUGGACAAUGGGGGAAACCCUGAUCCAGCAAUGCCGCGUGAGUGAUGAAGGCCUUAGGGUUGUAAAGCUCUUUUACCAGGGAUGAUAAUGACAGUACCUGGAGAAUAAGCUCCGGCUAACUCCGUGCCAGCAGCCGCGGUAAUACGGAGGGAGCUAGCGUUGUUCGGAAUUACUGGGGCGUAAAGCGCACGUAGGCGGUUACUCAAGUCAGAGGUGAAAGCCCGGGGCUCAACCCCGGAACUGCCUUUGAAACUAGGUAACUAGAAUCCUGGAGAGGUGAGUGGAAUUCCGAGUGUAGAGGUGAAAUUCGUAGAUAUUCGGAAGAACACCAGUGGCGAAGGCGGCUCACUGGACAGGUAUUGACGCUGAGGUGCGAAAGCGUGGGAGCAAACAGGAUUAGAUACCCUGGUAGCACAGAG
rnacentral:rRNA from 1 species